ensembl:snRNA U1 U1 spliceosomal RNA
AUCUUUACCUGACAGGGGAGAUGCCAGGCAAAAGAUUGUCUACUGCAGUCUACAUGUGCUGUGAUUUCUCCAAAUUUGUGAAACUUGAUUGUAUAAUUUUUGAUAGUGAGGGACUGUAUUCAUGUUCUCCCCUG